rnacentral:rRNA from 1 species
AUCAGUAACGGCGAGUGAAGCGGCAAGAGCUCAAAUUUGAAAGCUGGCCCCUUCGGGGUCCGCGUUGUAAUUUGCAGAGGAUGCUUCGGGUGCGGCCCCUGUCUAAGUGCCCUGGAACGGGCCGUCAGAGAGGGUGAGAAUCCCGUCUUGGGCAGGGUGCCCGUGCCCGUGUGAAGCUCCUUCGACGAGUCGAGUUGUUUGGGAAUGCAGCUCUAAAUGGGUGGUAAAUUUCAUCUAAAGCUAAAUACCGGCCGGAGACCGAUAGCGCACAAGUAGAGUGAUCGAAAGAUGAAAAGCACUUUGAAAAGAGAGUUAAACAGCACGUGAAAUUGUUGAAAGGGAAGCGCUUGCGACCAGACUCGGCCCCGGGGUUCAGCCAGCAUUCGUGCUGGUGUACUUCCCCGGGGGCGGGCCAGCGUCGGUUUGGGCGGCCGGUCAAAGGCCCCAGGAAUGUAUCGCCCUCCGGGGUUGUCUUAUAGCCUGGGGUGCAAUGCGGCCAGCCCGGACCGAGGAACGCGCUUCGGCACGGACGCUGGCGUAAUGGUCGCAAACGACCCGUCUUGAAACACGGACCAAGGAGUCUAACAUCUACGCGAGUGUUCGGGUGUCAAACCCGUACGCGCAGUGAAAGCGAACGGAGGUGGGAGCCCCCCCGGGGCGCACCAUCGACCGAUCCUGAUGUCUUCGGAUGGAUUUGAGUAAGAGCGUAGCUGUGGGGACCCGAAAGAUGGUGAACUAUGCCUGAAUAGGGCGAAGCCAGAGGAACUCUGGUGGAGGCUCGCAGCGGUUCUGACGUGCAAAUCGAUCGUCAAAUUUGGGUAUAGGGGCGAAAGACUAAUCGAACCCAUCUGGUAGCUGGUUCCUGCCGAAGUUG